rnacentral:rRNA from 1 species
CCUACGGGAGUCAGCAGUGGGGGAUAUUGCACAAUGGGGGAAACCCUGAUGCAGCGACGCCGCGUGUGGGAAGACGGUCCUCUGGAUUGUAAACCACUGUCCCCAGGGACGAAGCUGACGGUACCUGGGGAGGAAGCUCCGGCUAACUACGUGCCAGCAGCCGCGGUAAUACGUAGGGAGCGAGCGUUGUCCGGAAUUACUGGGUGUAAAGGGGGCGUAGGCGGGGAUGCAAGUUGGGGGUCAAAACGACCGGCUCAACUGGUAGUCGCACUCAAAACUGCGGCUCUUGAGUGAAGUAGAGGCAGGCGGAAUUCCUAGUGUAGCGGUGAAAUGCGUAGAUAUUAGGAGGAACACCAGUGGCGAAGGCGGCCUGCUGGGCUUUUACUGACGCUGAGGCUCGAAAGUGUGGGGAGCAAACAGGAUUAGAUACCCUUGUAGUC